AGCCCUGUCGUCUAGCGGUCAAGGAUACGGGCCUCUGGAGCCUGUGACGGCGGUUCGAAUCCGCCCAGGGCUA
rnacentral:tRNA from 1 species